rnacentral:rRNA from 1 species
CCUUGACAUACUAAGAACUUUCCAGAGAUGGAUUGGUGCCUUCGGGAACUUAGAUACAGGUGCUGCAUGGCUGUCGUCAGCUCGUGUCGUGAGAUGUUGGGUUAAGUCCCGNAACGAGCGCAACCCUUUUCCUUAUUUGCCAGCGGGUCAUGCCGGGAACUUUAAGGAUACUGCCAGUGACAAACUGGAGGAAGCGGGGACGACGUCAAGUCAUCAUGGCCCUUACGGCCAGGGCUACACACGUGCUACAAUGGUCGGUACAAAGGGUUGCUACCUCGCGAGAGGAUGCUAAUCUCAAAAAGCCGAUCGUAGUCCGGAUCGCAGUCUGCAACUCGACUGCGUGAAGUCGGAAUCGCUAGUAAUCGCGGAUCAGAAUGCCGCGGUGAAUACGUUCCCGGGCCUUGUACACACCGCCCGUCACACCAUGGGAGUUUGUUGCACCAGAAGUAGGUAGUCUAACCGCAAGGAGGACGCUUACCACGGUGUGGCCGAUGACUGGGGUGAAGUCGUAACAAGGUAGGCGUAGAUGA